UGAUAAUGUAUUAAUGUGUCUCCAGAGUAAGCCCCUGAUAAUGUAUUAAUGUCUCCAGAGUAAGCCCCUGAUAAUGUAUUAAUGUCUCCAGAGUAAGCCCCUGAUAAUGUAUUAAUGUCUCCAGAGUAAGCCCCUGAUAAUGUAUUAAUGUCUCCAGAGUAAGCCCCUGAUAAUGUAUUUAAUGUCUCCAGAGUAAGCCCCUGAUAAUGUAUUAAUGUGUCUCCAGAGUAAGCCCCUGAUAAUGUAUUUAAUGUCUCCAGAGUAAGCCCCUGAUAAUGUAUUAAUGUCUCCAGAGUAAGCCCCUGAUAAUGUAUUUAAUGUCUCUCCAGAGUAAGCCCCUGAUAAUGUAUUAAUGUGUCUCCAGAGUAAGCCCCUGAUAAUGUAUUUAAUGUCUCCAGAGUAAGCCCCUGAUAAUGUAUUAAUGUCUCCAGAGUAAGCCCCUGAUAAUGUAUUAAUGUGUCUCCAGAGUAAGCCCCUGAUAAUGUAUUAAUGUGUCUCCAGAGUAAGCCCCUGAUAAUGUAUUUAAUGUCUCCAGAGUAAGCCCCUGAUAAUGUAUUUAAUGUCUCCAGAGUAAGCCCCUGAUAAUGUAUUAAUGUGUCUCCAGAGUAAGCCCCUGAUAAUGUAUUUAAUGUCUCCAGAGUAAGCCCCUGAUAAUGUAUUAAUGUCUCCAGAGUAAGCCCCUGAACGUGGAGUACCUGAUAAUGUAUUUAAUGUCUCCAGAGUAAGCCCCUGAUAAUGUAUUUAAUGUCUCCAGAGUAAGCCCCUGAACGUGGAGUACCUCAUGAUGGACGCGUCCGUUCUACUUCCUCCUACUGGUACUCCUCUGACUGGAAUAGACUUCGUUAAGAGACUGCCCUGUGGAGGAGUAGAGAAGACCAGACGGGCCAUCCGUGUGUUCUUCAUGCUGAGAUCACUAUCUCUUCAGCUGCAGGGAGAACCAGAGACGCAGCUUCCUCUCACUCGCUCUGAAGACCUCAUCAAGACCGACGAUGUUCUGGACCUAAAUAACAGUGAUCUGAUAGCCUGUAUGGUUGUGUUGUGGUCUCUCUCUCUCUGUAGAUAACAGUGAUCUGAUAGCCUGUAUGGUUGUGUUGUGGUCUCUCUGUAGAUAACAGUGAUCUGAUAGCCUGUAUGGUUGUGUUGUGGUCUCUCUCUCUCUGUAGAUAACAGUGAUCUGAUAGCCUG